GGAUCCAUGGCUGCCUGUUAGAAAAACAUUAGACCAGAGAAAAAUGCCCCAUCAGCAACCCAUCUUCUUUUUCUUCUUUAGAAAGAAACCUAGAGGACAAGACCUAAAAAAGGGAGCUGCCAUUUUUGGACCUUCUACACAGCUUCAUUCGUUCUCUUUCGUGGACAAAGGACGAGAACCCUAAUGAACACACAGACAUACAUCUCUUCUUCUUGAAAAAGCUUAACCUCCAUCUUCAACCUAAAAAUGGCGAAAACCUAGGACAAAAGAGAGCAACAACCAAACGUCCACCAUCUCCCUCACGACAUCUCGAUUGUCUUCUCCAAACAUAAAAGAUAUGCAAGAC
rnacentral:lncRNA from 1 species